ACAUCCUAUCCUCUCGAUGCACUCACACUCCACACUCUCUGUCAUAGGAGCUUCUUCAUAUCCUCUCAUAUCCUAUCCUCUCAGAGCUUCUUCCUCUCUCCGUCCACGCUCUCUCCAUCAUAGGAGCUUCUUUCACCGCCGUCGCUCUCUCCAUCGCUCCGUCCACGAUCUCAUCACUGACAGCAAUGGCCAUUCGUUGGUCAUCUUCAUCCACCGGUUCAGUUCCUGUGCUGUUCAGGUAUGGCUUCAGGAAUCGAAACUAUUACACACUAAACAAACCAACAAACCCUAGCAACAACAUUAUCAAUCUUACUCUCACUUUGUAAACUUGAAGUGCAGCGAUUAGAAUCUUCUCUGGUUAGAUUUUCAAGCAGUGAAACUGUUACUGCAGAAUUCUGCAGUGAAGAAUGCCAUUCCAUACUAUAGUACCAGGAAAAAACCAUCUACUUUGAAAAAUGAGAGAGAAAACAUGAAAGAUCAACUGGACCUUCGCUAUAGUAGCAAAAAUCAGAGUGAGGUGGAAGUGGAAACUGAACCUGGAAUUCUUGAUGAAAGUAUUAAUGCUGUAGAAAUAGAUCCAGUAUCAAAGAUUCAGUCAUCACUUGAUAGUUCUCUUGCAAAAGCUACAAAAACGAAUAACAUACAUGAAGGUCAACUUAAUAGAUCCCAAGGCCAUGCAAAUGGUUCAAUAAAAUCAAUGGGGGAAGGAGAACUUGUGACAAAAGAAAAAUUUGAACGUAUAAAAUCAAUGCUAGAGGCAGAGUUAAGUGAUAUUCAAGAGCGGUACUUCCACAUGAGCCUUAAAUAUGCUGAGGUAGAAGCUGAGCGUGAAGAACUUGUGAUGAAGCUCAAAGAGGUCUCUUCCAUAACCUCAGAAAAGAGGUGAAUGGCUUGAGAAUUGGUUUGGAAAUGAGAAUUGCACAGUUAGAGAAUGAGAAGAGUUCCUUACUUCAAAAAGAGGUUGGAUUGAUGGAAGAAACCAAGCGUGCUGAGUGAAAAAGAAAUUUUGAGCCUUAAAGUGGAGAAUUUACUGGAAAAAAUUAAUCUUCUUGAGAGUGAUUUGAGUUCCUUUGUUGAGAACGAGUUUUCUAGGCACUUGCAGCAUUAGUACUUAAGACUGGUGUUACCAUUCAGCAACGUGCAGAGAGACUCUUCUUCACAAAGGUAAUUUGUACUCCUUUAUGAAGUAGGAUAUACUUCCAGUGGCUUUUAUAUUCAAAUCCUGUAUGCUUCAUCUCCAAAUUUGGUUGAUGCUUUUGCUCCUGGAAUUUUUAUUGAAUUUGUUUUGCAUUCUAAUAAACUAUGUCUGUACAAUUUUGGUUGACUAACUGACAUAACAAAUUUUCAAUCCUCCAUUUUAAACAAUAUUUGCAAUAAUAUAAUUAUAUAGAAGGGUCAGUUAGUUGCUGUUAAAGGAAUGGAUUCACAGUUUUAAUUUUUGUCAAACACUAGACAAAGCAAUGAUUUUUUUGGAAGAACUUAGAAAAUUGUAAUAGUACUGGGAUAAGAUUUAUUUAUUUAUUUUUUUUCUGAAAUAAAUGGUUUUUGGAUUUAGAUUGAAGAUGGUUUGAAAGGGUAAAAAUAAUAAAAUGGUUUUUUGAACUUAAGUUGAAGAUGAAGAUGUUUGAUGGAAGCAAGAAUGAAGUGACUUGCAUUGAAUUUGGUUUCUAUAUUGGGUUUGUUACUUUGUUUCCACCUACCAUUGCUGAUAUAUAGCUGAGUGAACUUUGGUACAUGUCAUGAAAUCUAUUAUGAUCAGUUCCACAUAAAUUAAACUCCAAAGGACCUCUUAAUAUUUAUUCCUUGUAUGAUUAGCUUACAGAUACAAAUAAUUACUAAUAUUUUUCUAGUGCUUAUUAACCUUGGUGUUUCAUUCAUAUAGAUAUAUAUCAUAGAAGAUUAUAUAGACACAGUUAUACAUACAUAUAAAAAAUCUCUGACAUAUAUAGCAUUAUUUAAUUUCCAUAUUUUUCAGAACUAUAUGUAAUAUAAAAGGUUAUAUCCAUUAUGAAGCAUUUAAGCUUAUCAUCAAAUUCUAAAGAUAAAAAGUGGUCUCAGAUGUCUUAAUAACAUAAAAGUUUGAUGGUGAGUAUGAAGGUGAGCUGUAACAGGUUCAUGUAGCAUAGUCCAGAAAGUUGUGAGGAAUGCUGGGAUGAUGAAGAAGAAGCAGUAGCAGCAGAAAGAGCAAGUGAAGUGAAUUUUACAGAUGAGAUAAGUGGAAUUAACACAGGAUCUCCUUCACCAACUUCAUCUAAUGAAUCCUCUAUUACAAGUUAAUUAUUAGAGCAGCGAAAAUUGUUCAAAUGAGUUAGGAAAUUGAAUAGGAGUUGCUUGCAGCAUAGAUCUUUUAAUUUACUAAUAUGAGAAAAAUUAUUUAGAGCCCUUUGGAUACCCAUUAACGACUUUUAAUUUACUCAAUAAACUUUGUUGAUGUAUGGUUGUUAUUUAUUAUUAUAGUUGAUGUAUCAAUACAUAUUGUUUAUAUUUUGAAUUA